rfam:Populus trichocarpa isolate Nisqually-1 chromosome 2, whole genome shotgun sequence.
UAGUUCGAUUUUGUGAAAUAACUUGAGAGGUGUAAGAUAAGUGGAAGUUUCGAUGAAAGUGAAAUACCACUAUUUUUAAUAUUAUUUUACUUACUUCGUGAACUGAAGACGGGCACAGUAGAUCAUAAUAAGCAUUCCCAAAAUACACGAGUUUAGCUCAUCAUAUGAUCACAUGCUAGAAUCAAAUAGG